UCUUAUAUUAAAUUUAUUGUGCAUAGCCUCUUUAAAUUACUUUUAUGGUUUUUUUUAUUAACAGUGCGAGGAACUUGAGGUGGAAGAACCAUCUUUUAUGGACAUUGCAACCCCCGAAAAGGAAGACUUGUGUCCAACCUGACAUCCGACCAGAGUGGUGGGUCGAAAGACGGUCCAAGUUCAGAGAUCAAUAUAGAAGUAGAGGACAGGGUAGGGGUGAAUUUCUUUAAUGAUUUCUUGUUUGUCAAAGUGGAAGAAUAUGGAGUUUUCACAAUUCAAUUUUUGACGUAGUGCAAAGAAGACGGUUCAUGUAAAUGGCCCAUUUGCGACGCUGUAAAAAAGAUUGAUGACACCUACAUCCUUGGACGGGCGACCGUCAGUGUUCUAAAACGAUCUUUUAUUGUUGAAAACCAUGAAGAAUUAAAAGAGAAAAAUAUAACCUACGUCGAAAACUUUUGUUUAAGUCAAUGAGAUAUUUAGUGAAAAGGUAUAUUUAUAAAAAU